rnacentral:rRNA from 1 species
AGAGUUUGAUCCUGGCUCAGGAUGAACGCUAGCGGCAGGCCUAAUACAUGCAAGUCGAACGCUCAGUAGCAAUACUGGGAGUGGCGCACGGGUGCGUAACGCGUACACAAUCUACCUCUAAGCGGGGGACACCUCCUGGAAACGGGGAUUAAUACCGCAUAAUAUGCCGAGGUCGCAUGACUUUGGUAUUAAAGCAGCAAUGCACUUAGAGAUGAGUGUGCGUCCCAUUAGGUAGUUGGUGAGGUAACGGCUCACCAAGCCUAUGAUGGGUAGCCGGUCUGAGAGGAUGGUCGGCCACACGGGCACUGAGACACGGGCCCGACUCCUACGGGAGGCAGCAGUAAGGAAUAUUGGUCAAUGGUGGAAACACUGAACCAGCCAUGCCGCGUGGAGGAAUAAGGUCCUACGGAUUGUAAACUCCUUUUGACGAGGGAGAAAGUGUUAGAUUUAUCUAAUUUUGACGGUACUCGUAGAAUAAGCACCGGCUAACUCCGUG